rnacentral:rRNA from 1 species
GUCGAAUGACUUGGAAAAGUCAGUCAAAGAGGGUAAAAACCCCGUAGACGAAAUGUGGAAGACACCUAGGAGGAUCCUGAGUACGGCGGAACACGAGAAAUUCCGUCGGAAUCCGGGAGGACCAUCUCCCAAGGCUAAAUACUCCCUAGUGACCGAUAGUGAACCAGUACCGUGAGGGAAAGGUGAAAAGCACCCCGGAAGGGGAGUGAAAUAGAACCUGAAACCGUGUGCCUACAACAAGUCAAAGCCCGUUAAUGGGUGAUGGCGUGCCUUUUGUAGAAUGAACCGGCGAGUUACGAUUGCAUGCGAGGUUAAGUUGAAGAGACGGAGCCGCAGCGAAAGCGAGUCUGAAUAGGGCGUUUGAGUAUGUAGUCGUAGACCCGAAACCAUGUGAUCUACCCAUGUCCAGGUUGAAGGUGCGGUAAAACGCACUGGAGGACCGAACCCACGUACGUUGAAAAGUGCGGGGAUGAGGUGUGGGUAGCGGAGAAAUUCCAAACGAACUUGGAGAUAGCUGGUUCUCUCCGAAAUAGCUUUAGGGCUAGCCUCGGAAUUGAGAAUGAUGGAGGUAGAGCACUGUUUGGACUAGGGGCCCAUCUCGGGUUACCGAAUUCAGAUAAACUCCGAAUGCCAUUCAUUCAUAUCCGGGAGUCAGACUGUGAGUGAUAAGAUCCAUAGUCGAAAGGGAAACAGCCCAGACCACCAGCUAAGGUCCCAAAAUAUAUGUUAAGUGGAAAAGGAUGUGGGGUUGCACAGACAACUAGGAUGUUGGCUUAGAAGCAGCCACCAUUUAAAGAGUGCGUAAUAGCUCACUAGUCGAGUGACCCUGCGCCGAAAAUGUACCGGGGCUAAACAUAUUACCGAAGCUGUGGAGUACACCUUUAGGUGUAUUGGUAGGAGAGCGUUCUAAGGGCGUUGAAGGCAGAUCGUGAGGACUGCUGGAGCGCUUAGAAGUGAGAAUGCCGGUAUGAGUAGCGAAAGACAGGUGAGAAUCCUGUCCACCGAAUGACUAAGGUUUCCUGGGGAAGGCUCGUCCGCCCAGGGUUAGUCGGGACCUAAGCCGAGGCCGACAGGCGUAGGCGAUGGAUAACAGGUUGAUAUUCCUGUACCCGUUGUUUUUGUUUGAGCAAUGGAGGGACGCAGGAGGCUAAGGAAUGCAGACGAUCGGAAAUGUCUGUCCAAGCAGUAAGUCUGAAGAGGAGUCAAAUGCUUCUUUUCUUAAGGACAAGCUGUGAUGGGGAGGGAAAUAAUAGUACCGAAGUUCCUGAUGUCACACUGCCGAGAAAAGCUUCUAGUGAGAAAACAGCGGCCCGUACCGCAAACCGACACAGGUAGUCGAGGAGAGAAUCCUAAGGUGAGCGAGAGAACUCUCGUUAAGGAACUCGGCAAAAUGACCCCGUAACUUCGGGAGAAGGGGUGCUGAUCAUACGAUCAGCCGCAGUGAAUAGGCCCAAGCGACUGUUUAUCAAAAACACAGGUCUCUGCAAAAUCGUAAGAUGAAGUAUAGGGGCUGACGCCUGCCCGGUGCUGGAAGGUUAAGAGGAGUGCUUAGCGCAAGCGAAGGUACGAAUUGAAGCCCCAGUAAACGGCGGCCGUAACUAUAACGGUCCUAAGGUAGCGAAAUUCCUUGUCGGGUAAGUUCCGACCCGCACGAAAGGCGUAACGAUUUGGGCACUGUCUCAACGAGAGACUCGGUGAAAUUUUAGUACCUGUGAAGAUGCAGGUUACCCGCGACAGGACGGAAAGACCCCAUGGAGCUUUACUGUAGUUUGAUAUUGAGUGUCUGUACCGCAUGUACAGGAUAGGUAGGAGCCGUAGAAAUCGGAACGCUAGUUUCGAUGGAGGCGCUGGUGGGAUACUACCCCUGCGUUAUG